CUACGGGCCGCAGCAGUGGGGAAUAUUGGGCAAUGGGCGAAAGCCUGACCCAGCAACGCCGCGUGAUUGAAGAAGGCUUUCGGGUUGUAAAAAUCUGUCCUUGGGGACGAAGAAGUGACGGUACCCAAGGAGGAAGCCCCGGCUAACUACGUGCCAGCAGCCGCGGUAAUACGUAGGGGGCGAGCGUUGUCCGGAAUUACUGGGCGUAAAGGGUGCGCAGGCGGCGCUUUAAGUCAGAUGUGAAAUACCCAGGCUUAACCUGGGGGGUGCAUUUGAAACUGGAGCGCUUGAGUGCAGGAGAGGAAAGUGGAAUUCCUAGUGUAGCGGUGAAAUGCGUAGAUAUUAGGAGGAACACCAGUGGCGAAGGCGACUUUCUGGACUGUAACUGACGCUGAGGCACGAAAGCGUGGGGAGCAAACAGGAUUAGAUACCCUAGUAGUC
rnacentral:rRNA from 1 species